CGCCACCAGGGCAGCCCCGCUUUGUAAUUUUUGCUGCUCAUGCUCAGCGGCACCAGCAUUUACUGGGCACUGUGCUGUGUGCCCCACACUGCACUAAGUGCUGUUUUACGGGAUCAUUUCAUUCAAUCCCCAUAACGGGGUGGGGGGGGUGGGGGUGUCAGGGGGUGUGGGUGGGCGGUUUCUGCUGUCAUUCACACUUUACAGAUGAGGAAACUGAGAUCAGGGAUCUCAGGGUCUCUCCCAAGGUCACCCAGCCGGUCAAGGGCAGUCAGGCCAGGGCCUCGAGCCACUUGGCUCCAGAACCCCAGCUCUGAAUCUCUCUCCUGCAGGGCGCGCACAACUUGUCCCCGCUGCAUCUCUCUGCCUGUUCUAGAAGGACUGUGAGGUCUGCAGUGCGUGGGGCCUCGGGUUGUCACGCUCAGCGGGGCUGCGGGUGCUGCCUCGGAGCCGCCACCGUGACCCUGGAUGAGCCGCUUCCAAAGGCAGCCGGGCUCCCAACGCCCGGCCUGAACUGCAGGAGGUACACCUACGUGUUAACCAACGAGGAAAUAAAGAGAAGUAAGACACAGGGUCCAUACCCAGCACCUUACAGUCUCCUGGCUGUGACCCACACAUAAAGUUAAUUUCUACAAGAGAGGUUGCCACCCUAAGAAUAAUUAUUUUAAGGAAAACACAAACAACAGCAUUAAAGAUUUUGUAUUUGAAACACCCACAAUGCAUCCCACGUGAACAUAUUCACGACUCUAGGUUUUCGUGGCUGUGGGAUACUCCUUCCUAUUCAGGUCCUUAACUACUGGUUGAACGAAUGACUUGGGUAAAUGACAGGGGCUUCACUUGGGCACAGCACACCGCCACGCACAGCAAGCUCUGAGGCUGCCCUGACACCGCCCAGGGAGGGGGAUUAACCAUCCUUGUUUUGCAGGUGAGGAAACUCAAGAGGCCCUGUGACCUUUCCUUCCUUCUCCUGGCACCAGUCCCUCCUGCACUGUCUAGGGAGCAUGUUCAGGCAUUUUGGUGGUGGUGGUGGUGGUGGUGGUGGUGAUGGAGGAGGAGGGGAAGGCCGACAGCUAGGGGCUCCUGCACCCACGAGCGCAGAGCAGGCCAAGGGCGGGGGUGACCACCGCCCGGCACCAGCUCCCAGCCUCCCCCUCCAGCCCACAAGACCUCGGCGAGGAAGAGGGGCGCUCAGAGCCAACCAGUGCUCCCAACUACAGAAGGAGGGAAAGCUCGAAGGGCAAACGACUUUUUAUUGGUGUGUUCUUGGCCAUAGCUGAGUCAUACCUUUUAGCCUGAAAUGCAGGUAAAGAGAAGAUCCAGCAAUCAACGAGGCAAGAAGGGCUCCCCGGGUGGUGC